CAAAUUAGAGCUUGAUUAAAGUAUUUCAUUUACAUUGAAAAGAUAUUAUAUUAUAAUUAAUUUGA
rnacentral:tRNA from 1 species